CAACCCUCGAAGCCCCCCCGGGGGCAUCGGUGUUGGGGGACGGCCCCUACCCCUCAGCGGGAAGGCCGGCCGCCCCCGAAAUGCAGUGGCGACCCCGCCGCAGCCUCCCCUGCGUAGUAGCUAUCAUUGAGACCUCGCACUGGAGCGCGGCGCGGGCCCCGCCGUGAAACCCCAACUUCACGAAAGG
rnacentral:misc_RNA from 1 species